rnacentral:rRNA from 1 species
UACGUAGGGUGCGAGCGUUAAUCGGAAUUACUGGGCGUAAAGCGUGCGCAGGCGGCGGCUCAAGUCAGGUGUGAAAUCCCCGGGCUUAACCUGGGAAUUGCGCUUGAAACUAGGUCGCUAGAGUGUGGCAGAGGGGGGGUGGAAUUCCGACGGUUGUAGCAGUGAAAUGCGUAGAGAUGUGGAGGAACACCGAUGGCGAAGGCAGCCCCCUGGGUCAACACUGACGCUCAUGCACGAAAGCGUGGGGAGCAAACAGGAU